CUCCAGUUAGCCUAGUGGUUAAGGCUCUGGAUCGCCAAUCCGGAGUCGGCGGGUUCGAUUCCCGUUCUGGUCA
rnacentral:tRNA from 1 species